GUGGAAAUUUUGCUCUGUGUGGGAUUUCCACCUGCUGUGGGUCUCAGGUGCUUUUCCAGGAUGCAAGGGGUGAUUUGCUGAAAACAGCCUUUUUUACCCCCYGUCUUCCAGCCUCAUCAGGAAAGAAAAUAAAUAAAUAUUGGAGCUUUUUUUUUUGUUUUUUUUUUUAGUGUGACGAAAGGAAACCCUAAAUUCUCAGCCCCAAACUGAUCCCAAAUCUUGAGAGCUUGGUGYUGGCUGGAAGCCUGGGGCACAGAUGAUGGUUGAUGGUUGAAUUGGUGUCUGCUCCAGCACCAGCGCCUGCCCUAAGGUGGAGCUGCUUCUCUUUCUGCAUCGUGGCUGCCCAGAAAACGCCGGAUCCACUCUGGUCACCCAAAUACCGCCUGCCUACAGCUUCUGAGACAAAAGAAAACCCAUCCAAACUGUGGGUUUGUGUUUGUUUUCCAUGCUCCCCCAUUGAAAUUCCAUGCCAAAGGUACAAUGCUUUUGGAUGAAGUGGGAUGGUGGCAACAACCAGGAGAGGAGGAAGAAGGAUUCCUACUUUACAUGUGGGGUGGAUGCCACCAGGACACAGCCCUGUGGUCCCCUCCCUGUGCCAGCAUCCUCUCCAGAUUUCCAAUUCCCUGGAGGGAGCCCGGUGCUUUGCCAUGGUGCUGUGUGCUGCAGUGAGCCGGGGCAGCUGCCCGAGGAUGCUGGAGCCUGUGCUGCUGCUGUUAAUGAACUGGUGUUAAUGAACUGGUGUUAAUGGGCACCCUGAUGGUGAGAAGUCAGCACUGGAGCCGUGCAGGGGCUGGAGCUGGGGGUUCUUCCACGUGGGCUGUCACCAGAGAAUGAAGAGCCAAGCUGCAGUAACUCCCGGGUGUAGACAAGAUCCUGAACCGCAUCACUUUAAUUACGCCAGCGCAAAUUCCACUCAUUUGGUUAAGCCUGGGAGCUACAGGAAGAGCUGUUUCCAGGUAUKCUGGUUUAAUGAAUGCAUGCCCUGGAUUCCCCACCGUGCUGGGCUUUGCCGGGCUCUCUGGCAUUCCGGGACAAGUUUGCAGCCAUCAGCACGUCCCAGCACACCGACUCUGCUUGGGUCAGAUAAAUGGGUUUUAACCUGAUUUGUGCUGUAAUCUCCAUGUCUACAGGCUCUCAUCACGCACAGGAUAAAACCCCAGCUCCUGUGUGCUUUCACCGGGCAGCUCCUGCCAGUCAGACUGGCCGAUGACUCCAAGCCAAGUGGCUUCCCCUUCCUGGCAUCUCAGGGACACCUCUGGACUCUGUGUGUUUGCCAAAUGGCUUUUGUUUGCUUAACUCCUUGCACUGGAGCAGGCAGAGGCACAGCUCCCACAGUGCCAUCCCUCCUCCACAGGCAGGGACAGGAUGACAAUCCUGCUGCCCAGGGCAGGCAGCCUGGUGCCAUCCCACCCCUGGAAAAAAUARCACCUUUUGGCUGCGUUAUUUGUACUUUCCUUUUCUGAACUUGCCUUAAAAAGAAGGGCUUGAUUUUCAAAGAAACAGCAUUUAAAUUACAUUCUUCCCUGCUCUUCCAGAUCUUCACUGUAAUCUUAUUGCUGUACGGAGCAACAAGCGUGCGUGGGUCAUGGUGGGAUUUUAACUGUAAUUCAUGGACAGAUAUAAAAUGCCAGGGUUAUUAUGAAUUUUAUUCAGGAGAGUUUAAAUGUUACUGGUUCAGCACUGCCUCUCACCGUGCUUCCUUUGCAGCAGCUUCUGUUUAACCUCUCAGCUCACAAAAUUUGUUGCGUUCUUGGUGUCUCGCUGUAAUUCUCCAGGUUUUCAAAUAAUCCCAGGAAAAGAGUUAACCUCUGCCUUAGUCUACAUCCACUGCAAAGCAUGUGGGGCCAAAGUCUGUUUUUCCUGACACCUCUGAUAAAUCCUGUGGGUUCAUUGGGGAAAACUGCCACUCUCAAUUUCAAAAUKAUGUCCAUGGUAGAGGGGUCAGGAGCAGUGCAGGGACCAGGGAGCACCAAAACCUGGUCCCAGUGUUGCUGUCAACAUUUGGGCAAGGCC